GUUAGUAUGACAAUUUUUUCUUCAUUAAUCGGUCUUGGAGAUUGAAUUCCUUCCCAAAAUCAUGGCAUAUAAAGCCAGGAUCAAGAAAACGAAAGCACAUAAAAACGACAGGAGAAGAAAGGAAAGAAAAAUCCGCCGUCUGUAAUCGAAUCAAUGUCCAACUGGAGGCUGUCUGUUGGUUCUAGAUAAGGAUUGGGCAGGACCCCAAGAACAAAUGCAGAAACAGUUUGCCUGAGGCAACCGCCAUUUAACAGAUUCCCAUGCAGUGCUUAUCCAUGGAACCUAUAUGUAGAGCAUGAUACCUUCGGAGGGCGCUGUUUUAAAAUUUCCAUCGAGGAACGCGGUCAUCCGUCAUGGGACCGAAGGGGAGAUGGUCGGCCAUUGCUGUCCUGCCUCGCCUGCACAAGGCAAACGAAAAGGGCUUGGAGAUUCGUGCAUUCCGUGAGGUGGCUCGUCCGUAGGCAUGAAAGAAGGGAGGAGUCCUCCAUUGCUCGGCCUUGUUAUCAUUUUCUUGCCUUCCCUUCUUGAUGCGGCAGCAGAAGCAAGGAAAGAAGGAAGAGGGGGAGUAUGGCUGGAGGGUAGAAGAUGCGGUGAGGAGGGCGAGUGAAUUGCUGAAAUGCCAGGCGGAGAGAGAGAGAAGCCGCCAUCGCCGGCCUACGGAGCGCGACCGCUUCGUCUUCUCCCUCAUCGUCUCCGGAUCGAUCACGCUAUGAAUGACAUCAGCAGAUAAAACCAACCACAUCGAAUGACUUUUCUGUUUCCUACUUAAAGAGAUUUCUGAUGAUGAUGCUUGAUGCCUCAGCAUCGUAUGGGAGAGAAGAGGGACAAAAGUGUUCUGGUUUUUCG